UAGGAUAAGUGGGAGCUUCGGCGAAGGUGAAAUACCACUACUUUUAACGUUAUUUUACUUAUUCCGUGAAUCGGAGGCGGGGCGCUGCCCCUCUUUUUGGGACCCAAGGCCGCUUCGGCGGCCGAUCCGGGCGGAAGACAUGGUCAGGUU
rnacentral:rRNA from 1 species